GUGUCAGCCGCCGCGGUAAGACGUAGGGGGCUAGCGUUGUCCGGAUUUACUGGGCGUAAAGCGCGUGCAGGCGGUUCGUUAAGUCCCGUGUUAAAGCCUCCGGCUCAACCGGAGAACGCCGCGGGAUACUGGCGAGCUUGAGGGCGGUAGAGGGUGAUGGAAUUCCCGGUGUAGCGGUGAAAUGCGUAGAUAUCGGGAGGAACGCCAAUGGCGAAGGCGGUCACCUGGGCCGUCCCUGACGCUGAGACGCGAAAGCUGGGGAGCGAAAGGGAUUAGAUACCCCUGUAGUCCUAGCCGUAAACGAUGGACACUAGGUGUUGCGCGUAUCGACCCGUGCAGUGCCGUAGCUAACGCGUUAAGUGUCCCGCCUGGGGAGUACGCUCGCAAGAGUGAAACUCAAAUGAAUUGACGG
rnacentral:rRNA from 1 species